CAACGACAAGGGCUGGUACAUCUGCUACUGCGACAAAGCCGAGAUAUGCAAAUUUCAUCUUGACGUAGUUUUCCCUACCCUGAAAAGCGUUUGCGUCGGAGAGAAUGUGACUAUCCCCUGCUACGCUGACACAGACAAGCGUAUCCCUGACGAAAACAUCAACAUUCAGUGGGAAAAAGAUGGUAAACCUUUCGUGAUGCUUCAGCACAGGAAGAUGAGCUACGGUCCAGGUUUCGAAGGUCACGGCUUCAUUACGGCGAGCCAGUAUAAAAAUGGAGAUCUGUCCCUGACCAUCCCCAAGGUCCAGCAGUCUGACGGAGGGAUAUAUCGCUGUAGACACAGACACGAGGAACCGGGUCAACCCGAAGCCGUCGAUCUCAGGAUCAGUAAGUCUUCAGAGUGUGGAGCAGUAAAGCAGUCCACUUUUCCAUGGUGGGGAGUUCUGCUGGUGGUUGUUGCCAUUGUGGUUAUUUUUUGUGGUGUUGGAGUUUUCUACAAAUAUUUUACACAUAUAUUGAAUUGUCGGAAAAUACUACAGCACUAUAUCGAUGAAGAAAAUUACAUGCUGGGUUAAUCGAAUGGUGAAUCAUAGUUUGGAAGCGCAGGUGGUGCACGUAGAUAAGAUUUCUGCGCAGUCUGCGGAGAGAAGAAAAGAAGAUGAACACCGGAUGAGCAACAGGGCUUGCAACUCUCACAACUUCUACCACUAAUAAGAAAAGGAAGCUGUCACUGUGACAGCUGGAGAGUUGGAAUCACAAAAACGAACAGGACUGAAAGUUCAAACAACAGUCUGAACAGAUAGGGGCUGUAAAAUUGGGAAUGAGCAUUGAAUGUAGAUUCAUUGUGAGAAUAGAAACCAACUCUGGCUGCAUCUGAAAAAUACAAAAUCCAUGUACUAUUGGGUUUUGACUAGAGAUGCACCGAUGUAUCGGCCGAUACCGAUUACCGGCCGAUACAUCGGUGCAUUUCUAGUCAAAAAGGUUAUUUUUCCCGCUAUCUGCUUUCGGACGAUAGUUUAAAAACAUCAGGACCGAUUAUAUCCUGUCAAUCAAAAGAGGGCGGGAAAACUCAUUGAUUUCGUGUUGUUUGUAAAGAUGAUGUCUCAUGUGUGGAAUGAUGACAAAACUGCAGUUUGUAAUAUCUGCAAUCUCUGCACUGCUAAAAUUUUACACCGGGAGUGAGCAGCAGAGAAGCCUUCUCGCGUUGAAUUAAAGGGCCAGUACACCGUUGAAAGAUUUAAAUGAUGAAUGACAAAAAAGUAUAUAUUGCACAGAAAAAUAUAUUUGUAGAGUAGUAUAUUUCAUAUGCAGUUAAUGUUAAUGAGUUAAUAUCAUCAAAAAAAAAAACUUAUAUUAGGCCUAUACAUGACCAGUUUGAUGUUCACUGAUGAAGUAGAAAUGCUUUUGUUUGUGGUGAGUGAAUGUGAGACUAACAGGAGGUUUUUUUUAGAAUUCAGUCAAUGUUAAUAUGAAUGAAUAACGUGCAAUAAGUUAAGAAAUCACAACAGAAUGGGACAUCUGACCAAUCAGAGCAGAGUAGGCUCUCUGACCGGCUCUCUAACGUGAACAGAUCCUUGAACAAGUCGUUUGUGACGCUGAGAAAAAGAUGUAAAUAAUGAGAAAAUGAAAGUGUUUUUUGACCUUGGAUGCAUGUAAGCCUAUUGUAUGAGACCUUUAAAACACAAUUAGGCAUGUUUAAAAAGCAUAAUAGAUGCACUUUAAUAUAUGUUGUUUUUUUUUAUUUGGUUUGUAAGUAAAACUCAAAUUUCUUUGCUAUUAAAAUGUAUCAUGUUAUAAAUAAAUUCUGACAUGCUAAGAAAUAGUUGUUAUGCUAAUAAAAUUGCUUAAAUAAAUUAUGCUAAUAAAAGUUCUGUCAUGUUAUGCUACGAAUUCUGAUUAGCUAAUAAAAAUGUUAUAUUAUGCAAAUAAGUCUUUCGUGAUGUCUGCAUGGUGCAGUACCAGCAUAAAUAAUGGGGGCAGCAUAACACCAUGUCACACUGUGUUCACAACUGACUAAACAAACUAGUGCUUUGUACUAUUCUAGACACUUGUUGAGUAAUAAUAUUAACUGGUUUUCCAGUGUGCAACAUACUAACUUUUAAUGGGAGACCACCUGGGAAUACCAGGUGCUGAGCCCUGGGGCAGUGAUAGCUCAGGGGUAAAGGCGUUGGACUAUUGAUUAGAUAGUCAUGUUUUCCAAUACCAGUACUGCCAAGCUGCCACUGUUGUGCCCUUGAGCAAAGUCCUUACCCCUCAACUGCUGAGUUGUAUAAAAGAGAUAAAUGUAAUUUGCUUUGGAUAAGGGUGUCUGCAAAUGUUUAUGCAUAUUAGCUAAAUAAAAUAAUGGCAAAAGUAUUAUCAAGUAUUAAAAAAGAAUCUUAAUUAUCAAGUAACCAAUAAUAUAAAAAAAUGAAUGUGCUAGAUUUAGAUAAUGUUACCUGCUUCUAUGAGUUUUCUUCAUUAGCAUUAAAAAAGAUCAAAUAUAACUUCCUUCCUCCUUAUAAAGUGAUAUAUAAUUGAACCCAAAAUUAGACAGACUGCAGCAUUAGUGUUAUCUAGCAUCCGAGCUUUAUUAACGCUGUUUCAUUUCAACACCUCUCAUUACAGCAGAGGAUAAAGGUGCAGAAUAUAUUACUAUAUUAGAAGAAAAUAUAUUAAAUUGAGAAAACAAUAUAUAGGAAAACAAACAAACAAAAAGUAAAUAAAAUGUAGAAAGUUUCAAAGUGCCUUUGGAAUCAGCGGAGAGG